rnacentral:rRNA from 1 species
UACGGGGGGAGCAAGCGUUGUUCGGAUUUACUGGGCGUAAAGGGCGCGUAGGCGGCCACCGCAAGUCGACUGUGAAAUCUCCGGGCUUAACCCGGAAAGGUCAGCCGAUACUGCGGGGCUAGAGUGCAGAAGGGGCAACUGGAAUUCUCGGUGUAGCGGUGAAAUGCGUAGAUAUCGAGAGGAACACCUGCGGCGAAGGCGGGUUGCUGGGCUGACACUGACGCUGAUGCGCGAAAGCGUGGGGAGCGAACAGG